rnacentral:rRNA from 1 species
GACGAACGCUGGCGGCGUGCCUAAUACAUGCAAGUAGAACGCUGAAGAGAGGAGCUUGCUCUUCUUGGAUGAGUUGCGAACGGGUGAGUAACGCGUAGGUAACCUGCCUUGUAGCGGGGGAUAACUAUUGGAAACGAUAGCUAAUACCGCAUAACAAUGGAUGACACAUGUCAUUUAUUUGAAAGGGGCAAUUGCUCCACUACAAGAUGGACCUGCGUUGUAUUAGCUAGUAGGUGAGGUAAUGGCUCACCUAGGCGACGAUACAUAGCCGACCUGAGAGGGUGAGCGGCCACACUGGGACUGAGACACGGCCCAGACUCCUACGGGAGGCAGCAGUAGGGAAUCUUCGGCAAUGGGGGCAACCCUGACCGAGCAACGCCGCGGGAGUGAAGAAGGGUUUCGGAUCGUAAAGCUCUGUUGUAAGUCAAGAACGGGUGUGAGAGUGGAAAGUUCACACUGUGACGGUAGCUUACCAGAAAGGGACGGCUAACUACGUG